rnacentral:rRNA from 1 species
GAUGAACGCUGGCGGCGUGCCUAACACAUGCAAGUCGAGCGAUCUUCUUCGGAAGAGAGCGGCGGACGGGUGAGUAACGCGUGGGUAACCUGCCCUGUACACACGGAUAACAUACCGAAAGGUAUGCUAAUACGAGAUAAUAUGCUUUUGUCGCAUGGUAGAAGUAUCAAAGCUCCGGCGGUACAGGAUGGACCCGCGUCUGAUUAGCUAGUUGGUAAGGUAACGGCUUACCAAGGCGACGAUCAGUAGCCGACCUGAGAGGGUGAUCGGCCACAUUGGAACUGAGACACGGUCCAAACUCCUACGGGAGGCAGCAGUGGGGAAUAUUGCACAAUGGGCGAAAGCCUGAUGCAGCAACGCCGCGUGAGCGAUGAAGGCUUCGGUCGUAAAGCUCUGUCCUCAAGAGAUAAUGACGGUACUUGAGGAGGAAGCCCCGGCGUAACUACGU